AGAGAGAGAGAGAGAGAGAGAGACUGAGAUUUCACAAUCAGUUAUUUAUUGUGAAGAAACCAACUUCCCUUUUUCGAUGGCCUUUCCUAGAAGAAUCCUUUAAUGGGUAUCCGUUUAUUUGUGGAAUUUCAUUGAGCUGAGUUUCAGAUGUUAGGCCAGCAAGAUAAUGACCGCCUUGCAGGUGGUAUUCCCCGGAAAAACUAUUUACGGUCCGUUUCUUGGACUGACAAGUCUCCCACUCAACCUAACCCCAGACCCCAACCCAACAGCAAGGCUCGGUCCUGUUUGCCUCCCCUCCAGCCCCUUUCAAUCGCCCGCCGUCCUGUUGAGGAGUGGCCUACGGCUGGCCCUGAUGAUCUUGGGGUGUGGCCUAAUCCCCAGACCCCAAGAGGCCCUGUUAAAGCCCUCGACAAUUCUAAUAUUGAGCAGCCUGUGAAGGAAUUUCAGUUUAAGAAGGAUAAGCUUGCAUUUUUUGAUAAGGAGUGCUCGAGGAUUGCUGGUCAUAUUUAUUUAGGAAGUGAUGCUGUGGCUAAGAAUCGCGAAAUUUUGCGCCAAAAUGGGAUUACUCAUGUGCUGAAUUGUGUUGGUUUUGUCUGUAAUGAGUAUUUCAAGACCGAUCUUGUGUACAAAACGCUUUGGUUGCAAGAUAGCCCAUCAGAGGAUAUCACAAGCAUUCUAUAUGAUGUGUUUGAUUACUUUGAAGAUGUUCGAGAACAGGGUGGAAGGGUUCUUGUUCAUUGUUGCCAAGGAGUUUCAAGGUCCACUUCUUUGGUCAUUGCCUACCUUAUGUGGAGGGAGGGCCAAAGCUUUGAAGAUGCCUUUCAAUAUGUGAAGGCAGCUAGAGGAGUAACAAAUCCAAAUAUGGGUUUUGCUUGUCAACUUCUGCAGUGCCAGAAGCGUGUUCAUGCUGUGCCAGCUAGCCCAAAUUCUGUGCUUAGGAUGUAUAGGAUGGCUCCACACUCAUCAUAUGAUCCUCUUCAUCUUGUGCCAAAAAUGUUGAGCCAGCCAGACGCAAGAGGACUUGACUCUCGGGGUGCGUUCAUUGUCCAUAUUCCUACUGCAAUCUUUGUUUGGAUUGGGAAGAAUUGCAACUCAGUUAUGUCAAACCAAGCAAAAGUAGCUGCCAAUCAGGUCAUCCGUUAUGAAAGGGCUCAAGGUCCAAUUGUGAUCAUCAAAGAAGGGGAAGAACCAUCAGAAUUUUGGGAUGCUAUUGCCAAUGGACAAAUCCCAGCUGAUGGAUGCCAAAAAGUAGAGCAUAGAAAAGAAGCCGCUUCGUCUUCUGGGAAAAAUGAGAACAUUGCUGCAGCAAUUUGUAGCGGGGUUUGUGAGAGGAAGGUUGAGGAAUAUGAUUCGGAUUUUGAACUUUUCCACAAGGCACUUGCUGGUGGGGUUGUUCCUCCAUUUUCAGUAUCAAAUGCUGGAUCAGAAACCUGCCUCCCUGCCAGGGAAAAUGGAUGGGGCAGACUAAGGCAGAAGUUUGCUAAUGGUAUAAUGAAAGAAUUUCUCGCAUCAUCCAAACUGAAGCAUGAUCAUGUUUCAUCCAUUGGCGGAUCAGAUAUGAUUAUAGAUGCUUGUAGAGAAUCUGAAAAACCUGUUGAUUAUCCAUUAUCAUCACCAUCAGCUUUUCCAUGUGGUUCUCCAGAUUCCUUUGAACCUUUCCUGAACAGCAGCCCAGAUAGGAUAA
rnacentral:misc_RNA from 1 species